GAUUAAGUUAUUAAGGGCGCACGGUGGAUGCCUUGGCACUAGAAGCCGAUGAAGGACGUUACUAACGACGAUAUGCUUUGGGGAGCUGUAAGUAAGCUUUGAUCCAGAGAUUUCCGAAUGGGGAAACCCAGCAUGAGUUAUGUCAUGUUAUCGAUAUGUGAAUACAUAGCAUAUCAGAAGGCACACCCGGAGAACUGAAACAUCUUAGUACCCGGAGGAAGAGAAAGAAAAUUCGAUUCCCUUAGUAGCGGCGAGCGAAAUGGGAAGAGCCCAAACCAACAAGCUUGCUUGUUGGGGUUGUAGGACACUCUAUACGGAGUUACAAAGGACGACAUUAGACGAAUCAUCUGGAAAGAUGAAUCAAAGAAGGUAAUAAUCCUGUAGUCGAAAAUGUUGUCUCUCUUGAGUGGAUCCUGAGUACGACGGAGCACGUGAAAUUCCGUCGGAAUCUGGGAGGACCAUCUCCUAAGGCUAAAUACUCUCUAGUGACCGAUAGUGAACCAGUACCGUGAGGGAAAGGUGAAAAGCACCCCGGAAGGGGAGUGAAAUAGAACCUGAAACCGUGUGCUUACAAGUAGUCAGAGCCCGUUAAUGGGUGAUGGCGUGCCUUUUGUAGAAUGAACCGGCGAGUUACGAUUUGAUGCAAGGUUAAGCAGUAAAUGUGGAGCCGUAGCGAAAGCGAGUCUGAAUAGGGCGUUUAGUAUUUGGUCGUAGACCCGAAACCAGGUGAUCUACCCUUGGUCAGGUUGAAGUUCAGGUAACACUGAAUGGAGGACCGAACCGACUUACGUUGAAAAGUGAGCGGAUGAACUGAGGGUAGCGGAGAAAUUCCAAUCGAACCUGGAGAUAGCUGGUUCUCUCCGAAAUAGCUUUAGGGCUAGCCUCAAGUGAUGAUUAUUGGAGGUAGAGCACUGUUUGGACGAGGGGCCCCUCUCGGGUUACCGAAUUCAGACAAACUCCGAAUGCCAAUUAAUUUAACUUGGGAGUCAGAACAUGGGUGAUAAGGUCCGUGUUCGAAAGGGAAACAGCCCAGACCACCAGCUAAGGUCCCAAAAUAUAUGUUAAGUGGAAAAGGAUGUGGCGUUGCCCAGACAACUAGGAUGUUGGCUUAGAAGCAGCCAUCAUUUAAAGAGUGCGUAAUAGCUCACUAGUCGAGUGACACUGCGCCGAAAAUGUACCGGGGCUAAACAUAUUACCGAAGCUGUGGAUUGUCCUUUGGACAAUGGUAGGAGAGCGUUCUAAGGGCGUUGAAGCAUGAUCGUAAGGACAUGUGGAGCGCUUAGAAGUGAGAAUGCCGGUGUGAGUAGCGAAAGACGGGUGAGAAUCCCGUCCACCGAUUGACUAAGGUUUCCAGAGGAAGGCUCGUCCGCUCUGGGUUAGUCGGGUCCUAAGCUGAGGCCGACAGGCGUAGGCGAUGGAUAACAGGUUGAUAUUCCUGUACCACCUAUA
rnacentral:rRNA from 1 species